rnacentral:rRNA from 1 species
CUACGGGACGCAGCAGUGAGGAAUAUUGCACAAUGGGGGGAACCCUGAUGCAGCAACGCCGCGUGGAGGAUGACGCAUUUCGGUGUGUAAACUCCUUUUAUAUGUCAAGAAAAUGACGGUAGCAUAUGAAUAAGCACCGGCUAACUCCGUGCCAGCAGCCGCGGUAAUACGGAGGGUGUAAGCGUUACUCGGAAUCACUGGGCGUAAAGGACGCGUAGGCGGGUUGGAAAGUCAGGUGUGAAAUCCUACAGCUUAACUGUAGAACUGCACUUGAAACUUCUAAUCUAGAGUAUGGGAGGGGGAGAUGGAAUUAGUGGUGUAGGGGUAAAAUCCGUAGAUAUCACUAGGAAUACCUAAAGCGAAGGCGAUCUCCUGGGACAUUACUGACGCUAAGGCGUGAAAGCGUGGGGAGCAAACAGGAUUAGAUACCCCCAUAGUC